rnacentral:rRNA from 1 species
GACGAACGCUGGCGGCGCGCUUAACACAUGCAAGUCGAGCGAAGCGGCGGACGGGUGAGUAACACGUGAGUAAUCUGCCUUAGACACUGGGAUAGCCUCGGGAAACCGGGAUUAAUAUCAAAUGGUCUAAGAUGGACUCGCGUCCCAUUAGCAAGUUGGUGAGGUAACGGCCCACCAAGGCGACGAUGGGUAGCCGGCCUGAGAGGAUGAACGGCAACAUUGGGAAUGAGAAACGGUGCAAGCUCUGCGGGAGGCGGCAGGAGGGAGUAUGACACGAUGAAGGGAACUAUGAUGCAGCGACGCCGCGAAGACGAAGAAAGGAUUAGAGUCGUAAAGUUCUUUUAUAUGGGAAGCGGUACCGUAAGAAAAAGCCCCGGAUAACUACGUGCCAGCAGCCGCGGUAAUAC